rfam:Haemonchus placei strain MHpl1 genome assembly, scaffold: HPLM_scaffold0000578
GGCACAGCUUUGAAGUAGAGUAGAUUAGUAGGAUCAUCCAAUCCUACUAAUCUACUCUAUUUCAAGUUUGUGCCC